UUGAGAGCAGGGCAGCGCAUGGGGAGUGAGUGUAACCACAGUUGACAACACCACCUGCUUUUUUGAGGCCAGUGAAGAAGUCCACAAGUGCCUGCCUUGGUUCUGCUGUGCUUGCAGCUGUCACGGGAUCUGAAGCCAGCCCACUGCUUUCACAGAAUGAAGCUCCAGCUCAUCCACCCAGAUGCCAAGGACCAGGACACCCUCAACCAGUAACACACACUCUCCUUCUUCAAUGACGUUUGUGUUCCUAGAAUCCAUUUUCCUCAGUCAGGCCCUGGCCACGAAGACCCCUGCCUACCGAUCUUCUGUACUAGCCCAGCACGCGUGGACACAUUCAUCUGCACGACAGACAUCAUGGGGCACCUUCUGUGAGCAGGCGCUGGGGAGACAAGGCCAGCCCGCCUCAGUUCCCACGGUACUCAAGAGACAGCAAGCCAGGCCACCCCAGCAUGGUGAGGUGGGCACUGUGUUCACCAACAAUAAAGGCGGACAAAGGUU
rnacentral:lncRNA from 1 species